CAAGCGAACAAGUGCAUGUGGUGGAUGCCUUGGCGAUCACAGGCGAUGAAGGACGCGGUAGCCUGCGAAAAGCCCCGGGGAGCUGGCAAACAAGCUUUGAUCCGGGGAUGUCCGAAUGGGGAAACCCACUCCGUAUGGAGUAUCCAUGACUGAAUACAUAGGUCAUGUGAAGCGAACGCGGUGAACUGAAACAUCUAAGUAACCGCAGGAAAAGAAAUCAACCGAGAUUCCCAAAGUAGUGGCGAGCGAAAUGGGAUGAGCCUUGUACUCUUUAUUUGUAUUGUUAGCCGAACGCUCUGGAAAGUGCGGCCAUAGCAGGUGAUAGCCCUGUAGGCGAAAACAGUAUGAAAGAACUAGGUGUACGACAAGUAGGGCGGGACACGUGAAAUCCUGUCUGAAGAUGGGGGGACCAUCCUCCAAGGCUAAAUACUCGUGAUCGACCGAUAGUGAACCAGUACCGUGAGGGAAAGGCGAAAAGAACCCCGGGAGGGGAGUGAAAUAGAUCCUGAAACCGCAUGCAUACAAACAGUCGGAGCCUCUUUAUGGGGUGACGGCGUACCUUUUGUAUAAUGGGUCAGCGACUUACGUUCAGUAGCAAGCUUAACCGUAUAGGGCAGGCGUAGCGAAAGCGAGUCCGAAUAGGGCGUUCAGUUGCUGGGCGUAGACCCGAAACCAGGUGAUCUAUCCAUGGCCAGGAUGAAGGUGCGGUAACACGUACUGGAGGUCCGAACCCACUAACGUUGAAAAGUUAGGGGAUGAGCUGUGGAUAGGGGUGAAAGGCUAAACAAACCUGGAAAUAGCUGGUUCUCUCCGAAAACUAUUUAGGUAGUGCCUCGUGUCUCACCUUCGGGGGUAGAGCACUGUCAUGGUUGGGGGGUCUAUUGCAGAUUACCCCGCCAUAGCAAACUCCGAAUACCGAAGAGUGCAAUCACGGGAGACAGACAUCGGGUGCUAACGUCCGGUGUCAAGAGGGAAACAACCCAGACCGCCAGCUAAGGUCCCCAAAUAUGGCUAAGUGGGAAACGAAGUGGGAAGGCUAAAACAGUCAGGAGGUUGGCUUAGAAGCAGCCACCCUUUAAAGAAAGCGUAAUAGCUCACUGAUCGAGUCGUCCUGCGCGGAAGAUGUAACGGGGCUAAGCCAUAUACCGAAGCUGCGGAUGCGUGCUUGCACGCAUGGUAGGAGAGCGUUCCGUAAGCCUGCGAAGGUGCCUUGUAAAGGGUGCUGGAGGUAUCGGAAGUGCGAAUGCUGACAUGAGUAGCGAUAAAGGGGGUGAAAGGCCCCCUCGCCGUAAGCCCAAGGUUUCCUACGCAACGUUCAUCGGCGUAGGGUGAGUCGGCCCCUAAGGCGAGGCAGAAAUGCGUAGCUGAUGGGAAGCAGGUCAAUAUUCCUGCACCGUCGUUAGAUGCGAUGGGGGGACGGAUCGCGGAAGGUUGUCCGGGUGUUGGACGUCCCGGUCGCUGCAUUGGAGAAGGCGCUUAGGCAAAUCCGGGCGCAGGAUUCAAGGGUGUGGCGCGAGCGACUUCGGUCGCGAAGCAAUUGGAAGUGGUUCCAAGAAAAGCCUCUAAGCUUCAGUCUAACGAUGACCGUACCGCAAACCGACACAGGUGGGCGAGAUGAGUAUUCUAAGGCGCUUGAGAGAACUCGGGAGAAGGAACUCGGCAAAUUGGUACCGUAACUUCGGGAUAAGGUACGCCCUUGUAGCUUGACUGGCCUGCGCCAGGAGGGUGAAGGGGUUGCAAUAAACUGGUGGCUGCGACUGUUUAAUAAAAACACAGCACUCUGCAAACACGAAAGUGGACGUAUAGGGUGUGACGCCUGCCCGGUGCCGGAAGAUUAAAUGAUGGGGUGCAAGCUCUUGAUUGAAGUCCCGGUAAACGGCGGCCGUAACUAUAACGGUCCUAAGGUAGCGAAAUUCCUUGUCGGGUAAGUUCCGACCUGCACGAAUGGCGUAACGAUGGCCACACUGUCUCCUCCCGAGACUCAGCGAAGUUGAAGUGUUUGUGAUGAUGCAAUCUACCCGCGGCUAGACGGAAAGACCCCAUGAACCUUUACUGUAGCUUUGCAUUGGACUUUGAACCGAUCUGUGUAGGAUAGGUGGGAGGCUAUGAAACCGGAACGCUAGUUUCGGUGGAGCCGUCCUUGAAAUACCACCCUGGUUUGUUUGAGGUUCUAACCUUGGUCCGUGAUCCGGAUCGGGGACAGUGCAUGGUAGGCAGUUUGACUGGGGCGGUCUCCUCCCAAAGGGUAACGGAGGAGUACGAAGGUACGCUAGGUACGGUCGGAAAUCGUGCUGAUAGUGCAAUGGCAUAAGCGUGCUUAACUGCGAGACCGACAAGUCGAGCAGGUGCGAAAGCAGGUCAUAGUGAUCCGGUGGUUCUGUAUGGAAGGGCCAUCGCUCAACGGAUAAAAGGUACUCUGGGGAUAACAGGCUGAUACCGCCCAAGAGUUCAUAUCGACGGCGGUGUUUGGCACCUCGAUGUCGGCUCAUCUCAUCCUGGGGCUGUAGCCGGUCCCAAGGGUAUGGCUGUUCGCCAUUUAAAGAGGUACGUGAGCUGGGUUUAAAACGUCGUGAGACAGUUUGGUCCCUAUCUGCCGUGGGCGUUGGAUAUUUGAAGGGGGCUGCUCCUAGUACGAGAGGACCGGAGUGGACGAACCUCUGGUGUACCGGUUGUGACGCCAGUCGCAUCGCCGGGUAGCUAUGUUCGGAAGAGAUAACCGCUGAAAGCAUCUAAGCGGGAAACUCGCCUUAAGAUGAGAUAUCCCUGGAGGCUUGACCUCCUUGAAGGGUCGUUCGAGACCAGGACGUUGAUAGGUCGGGUGUGUAAGCGCAGUAAUGCGUUCAGCUAACCGAUACUAAUUGCCCGUAAGGCUUGAUCC
rnacentral:rRNA from 1 species